rnacentral:rRNA from 1 species
AUUGAACGCUGGCGGCAUGCCUAACACAUGCAAGUCGAACGGUAACAGGAAGAAGCUUGCUUCUUUGCUGACGAGUGGCGGACGGGUGAGUAAUGUCUGGGAAACUGCCUGAUGGAGGGGGAUAACUACUGGAAACGGUAGCUAAUACCGCAUAACGUCGCAAGACCAAAGAGGGGGACCUUCGGGCCUCUUGCCAUCGGAUGUGCCCAGAUGGGAUUAGCUAGUAGGUGGGGUAACGACUCACCUAGGCGACGAUCCCUAGCUGGUCUGAGAGGAUGACCAGCCACACUGGAACUGAGACACGGUCCAGACUCCUACGGGAGGCAGCAGUGGGGAAUAUUGCACAAUGGGCGCAAGCCUGAUGCAGCCAUGCCGAGUGUAUGAAGAAGGCCUUCGGGUUGUAAAGUACUUUCAGCGGGGAGGAAGGGAGUAAAGUUAAUACCUUUGCUCAUUGACGUUACCCGCAGAAGAAGCACCGGCUAACUCCGUG